UUGGGCUCCCACCUGCAGUUCUGCGAGCCUCUUGAGGAGUGAAAGUCCUGGGAAGCGUCCCCACCCUCCAGAGAGGGCCACGUCUGGUGGCUCUUGGGUCCAGUGUCUUUGGUUUUGGUAUCAGGGUGACAGUGGCCUCGUAGAAUGAGUUCGAGAGUGUUCCUUCCUCUUCAAUUUUUGGAAGCGUUUGGAAAAGACAGAGCCCACUGUUACCAAGGAACUGGUCCGUGGAUUGAGACUAGUUUUCCACACUGACCAAAGAUCUGGGUUCACCGAGCUGCUGGAUGGGUUUGGGGGCCCCAAGCAGUCACUCAGCUUCUUCGCUUGCCUGUCCCCUGGGAAAGAUGGGCAAGAGAAAGCCCUCAAAGCUCUGGGCAGUGAAGGGAGCCCAGACCCUUGCCCCCGACCUUAAGAAAAACUCUUACAUCUCAUGCCUCUUCCUCCUGAGUUCAGUCUGCCCGGAAUGGCCGUCCCUGCCUGCUCUGCCAGUGAGCUCCUCUCCCUCCUUCAGGUCCCAGCUCGGACGUGUGUAGUGAUAAUUAAAAACAAUCAUCA